CCUACGGGAGGCAGCAGUGGGGGAUAUUGCACAAUGGGGGGAACCCUGAUGCAGCGACGCCGCGUGGGUGAAGGAGUGCUUCGGCAUGUAAAGCCCUAUCGGCAGGGAAGAAGCAAGACGGUACCUGACUAAGAAGCCCCGGCUAACUACGUGCCAGCAGCCGCGGUAAUACGUAGGGGGCGAGCGUUAUCCGGAUUCACUGGGUGUAAAGGGAGCGUAGACGGCCAUGCAAGCCAGGGGUGAAAGCCCGGGGCUCAACCCCGGGACUGCCCUUGGAACUGCAUGGCUGGAGUGCGGGAGGGGCAGGCGGAAUUCCUGGUGUAGGGGUGAAAUGCGUAGAUAUCAGGAGGAACACCGGUGGCGAAGGCGGCCUGCUGGACUGUGACUGACGUUGAGGCCCGAAGGCGUGGGGAGCAAACAGGAUUAGAUACCCCAGUAGUC
rnacentral:rRNA from 1 species